rnacentral:lncRNA from 1 species
CCCCCAAAAAAAAAAACAGCAAUCAGAAAAACAGGAAGAGGAUUUGUAUAAGAUCAAGUUUUUUCAGAUUCUAUCACAUAUAGAUACAUCCAUAUUAAUGCCUAAACAACAGUUUGUGCAUCAAAGAAACAUUUUAAUAAGAGGGAACCCAAAAAAAUUGUUCAAGUUAGUCAUGAAAUCGGCACAAUGAGAAGCAAUAACAAUGAAAGGCAUGAAGUAAAUCCCGUGAAAUCAAGGGAACACUAAACGCAAUGGAUAUAUAAUGUAAAGCUUCAAUCUCAAUUUCGAACUAAAAUUUGUUUGAGAAAGGAACAACUAAAUAACCUUGUUGGGUAUUUUUUGGUAAGUGAUACCCAAAUCCCCUAGGCAAUGAUGAAAAUCGAGGCCCGUUUAACUUCAUAGGCUAUAAGCCUAAUAUUGAAGAACAUAUUGGACCCACACCACAAUUGAUGUAAUCCAAUUGUGUUGGGUAUUUGGAGGAAAUCAGCCCAUUGGGCUAGAUGCUCAAUACCCGACUAUGGAGAUAAAUGAAAUCACAAAAGAUAGAAUUGGUUGCAAAUAAUUAUCUCGUGAUAAUUAUCCUAUCCCUACUGUUUCUGUUGGACUCAAAUUUAAACUUCCCUGUUAUCUUGGAGAUUUGAUUUCCCUUGUGAUAAUAUACAAGAGUUUUAUACAUCCAAAAAACUCAACCAAUUUGAUAAAAGAGAGAGAAGCUGGCUGCCUUCUUCUUCUUAGAGUGAGAACUUUUCUGCAAAAGAAAAAGAGACUUCCUUCUCUGUGAAAACCGAAGUCGACCUUUG